rnacentral:rRNA from 1 species
UACGUAGGCAGCGAGCGUUGUUCGGAGUUACUGGGCGUAAAGGGUGUGUAGGCGGUUUUCUAAGUUUGGUGUGAAAUCUCCCGGCUCAACCGGGAGGGUGCGCCGAAAACUGGGAGACUAGAGUGCGGGAUGGGAGAGUAGAAUUCCUGGUGUAGCGGUGAAAUGCGUAGAUAUCAGGAGGAAUACCGGUGGUGUAGACGGCUCUCUGGACCAUUGCUGACGCUGAGACACGAAAGCGUGGGUAGCAAACAGG